rnacentral:rRNA from 1 species
CCUACGGGAGGCAGCAGUGAGGAAUAUUGGUCAAUGGGCGAGAUCCUGAACCAGCCAAGCCGCGUGAAGGAUGACGGCCCUAUGGGUUGUAAACCUCUUUUGUCGGGGAACAAAACCCGGGACGUGUCCCGGACUGCGUGUAUCCGAAGAAAAAGCAUCGGCUAACUCCGUGCCAGCAGCCGCGGUAAUACGGAGGAUGCGAGCGUUAUCCGGAUUUAUUGGGUUUAAAGGGUGCGUAGGCGGACUGUUAAGUCAGCGGUAAAAGUGCGGGGCUAAACCCCGUCGUGCCGUUGAAACUGGCAUACUUGAGUGGGCGAGAAGUACGCGGAAUGCGUGGUGUAGCGGUGAAAUGCAUAGAUAUCGCGCAGAACUCCGAUUGCGAAGGCAGCGUACCGGCGCCAGACUGACGCUGAUGCACGAAAGCGUGGGUAUCGAACAGGAUUAGAUACCCUAGUAGUC